CUUCUUCUUCUUCUUCUGCUUCUUCUUCACUACUGAAUUUUACGUGUACAGAGACCAUUGUUAUGCUCUUUCUUUCCAGAUUCCGGGUAGCGGUAGUUCAAUAUCUGGAAUCCGACAGCUGGAUGCCGGAAGAAGCUAGAGAUCGGGGAUGGCGACAGACUGUCGCGAUCCGAUUUCAUCGUUCUUCAAUGCUUGAUUUGCUGUUUCAACCGCUUUUCGUAUCCGAUCGUGCUUAAGGCAACGCAAAUUUCGAAAAUUCCCUUGAUAUAUUUUAUGUUACCAUUUGAUUAGCGCCGUGUAUGAUCGAUUGUAUUGGUUUUGGGAUUCCGAUUGUGGCGAGUUUUAGGUAUAUGAAUUACAUGGAGACCGUACAUUCUAUCCCCCUGGCAUCGAACUAAUAUUUCCAUUUCUUAGAUUCUUCUUGAUUCAGCAACCUGUUCACAUGAUACAAUAUCGAUCUUUGGGGAUGCAGGGAGAUAUGUUUCCGACAACAGGGUUUCUCGGGAAUUCCCUGGAGAUGCAACGGGAGAGGAAUGUAAGGGUUUUCCGGAUGUUGUUCUUGCUCCUGGUCGUGUUCCAAACUUGUUUGGAAUGAGAUGACCUCUGAAGCUCUUUAACCUCUCGAAAGACGAUGUUAGGAAAUCUGUGAACAUACACCUUCAAAUCCAAAGCAGCUCGAAUUUUCAUUGGCGGCUAAGAAGGUGAGAAGGCCAACAAUGUCCAGAGGCUUGUGAUUGCAUAGACUCUGCAAAUGGAGAAAGCAAGACUCGCCAUAAAAAAUAAGAGAAUUGCUAAGGCUAAUGCAACAGAUUAGGCGCAGUCCAGUACCAGAAGCUUCUGGUAAAACCCUCUGCUGUGCCGCUUGGAUUCUUCGAGAGGGCUGGAGUGGAUACAUUCCAGGUGAUGGUAAAAUAAAAAUCAUAAAUUUAAGCGCUAAGAGCUGCAAGUAUAGAAGAGAGAUGUAUCUCUCUG